rnacentral:rRNA from 1 species
UACGGAGGAUCCGAGCGUUAUCCGGAUUUAUUGGGUUUAAAGGGUGCGUAGGUGGCCUGUUAAGUCAGGGGUGAAAGACGGUAGCUCAACUAUCGCAGUGCCCUUGAUACUGAUGGGCUUGAAUACACUAGAGGUAGGCGGAAUGUGACAAGUAGCGGUGAAAUGCAUAGAUAUGUCACAGAACACCGAUUGCGAAGGCAGCUUACUAUGGUGCAAUUGACACUGAGGCACGAAAGCGUGGGGAUCAAACAGG